rnacentral:rRNA from 1 species
AGAGUUUGAUCAUGGCUCAGAACGAACGCUGGCGGCAGGCCUCAAACAUGCAAGUCUAGGGGGUGUAGCAAUACAUCACCGGCGGACGGGGUGCGUAACACGUGGGAAUAUACCUUUUGGUUCGGAACAACGCAGGGAAACUUGCGCUAAUGCCGAAUGUGCCCUUACGGGGAAAGAUUUAUCGCCAAAGGAUUAGCCCGCGUCCGAUUAGCUAGUUGGUGAGGUAAUGGCUCACCAAGGCUCCGAUCGGUAGCUGUUCUGAGAGGAAGAUCAGCCACACUGGGACUGAGACACGGCCCAGACUCCUACGGGAGGCAGCAGUUGGGAAUCUUGGACAAUGGGGGAAACCCUGAUCCAGCCAUGCCGCGUGAGUGAUGAAGGCCUUCGGGUUGUAAAACUCUUUCGACGGGGACGAUAAUGACGGUACCCGUAGAAGAAGCUCCGGCUAACUUCGUGCCAGCAGCCGCGGUAAUACGAAGGGGGCUAGCGUUGUUCGGAAUUACUGGGCGUAAAGCGCGCGCAGGUGGUCUUUCAAGUCAGUGGUGAAAGCCCGGAGCUCAACUCCGGAAAUGCCAUUGAAACUGUGAGACUUGAGGACGAGAGAGGUGAGUGGAAUUCCCAGUGUAGAGGUGAAAUUCGUAGAUAUUGGGAAGAACACCGGUGGCGAAGGCGGCUCACUGGCUCGUAUCUGACGCUCAGGCGCGACAGCGUGGGGAUCAAACAGGAUUAGAUACCCUAGUAGUCC